GCCCUCGCCUCAUCUGGCGCUCACCACGCCCGGCAGCCGUGUGCACGCCGCCCGCGUCUCCUCGGUCCCCUUCCUGUGCACGACGGGCACGUCACUUAGGGGAGAGCGAUGCCGGCGUAAAUACUGAACCUCUGUGGCAGGCUCGUCUGCAGAGGCGCCGGCCGGCAUCCACAUCGGGGGCCUCACGGGCAGCGGAGGGGCUGGGGAAGCUGCCCUGACCUCCCCCCGGUGCCACCCCCCCCCCCCCAGUGCCACCCUCCCCCCAGGAGAAAGUGGACACAAGAGGAAGAAUCUGAGAAGUCCGGCGGCAGCUUGGGCUUUGGGCUUUUUGACUAACCCCUGCUGCGACACGUUCGAUAAAAAGCCAAACUCUAAAACGCCAGAGUUGGGAUGGUUAAAAGUUUAAACCCCAGAGAUACAGCCUGACCGCAGGCACGUAGGAAGUGCUCGCCCAGGCCCUGGAAGGAACUCGUUCUUGUGUGUUCCUGAGCCGGGCUCAGCAGAUAAGCCGCCCCUGCCACUCGCCCAGGGCGGCCUCGGGCCAGUUUCAGCGCUGCCAAGCCGUCUCUGUGUGCGUCGCGGAAGGAUGAACCCAAGGAGGCCGGAUGCAGGCUCCGCGGGCGGUAGGGUCGCUGUCUUCGGAACCCCACACGCCCUCCACCUUUGGCUUUGUUCAAGGACCAUCUCCGUAAGUUGCUCUCCAUCUACUACGAGCCCACCUCAGAGCCAAGCGUGCACCCUGCUGGGUCUGGCAGAUGACAGUAAAGAUCUUUCCUGCCCCCCGGGAGCUACCGCCUCACGGGGACACAAACCACACAUGUAUAAGCAGAACGCGGGGCCGUGAAUCAUUCGGGGAGUCCAAGAGCGGCGCUGGACUGCUGGGGAGUGGGGACAGGCCACGAGGGCUGGCGUGACUUCUGAGGUGAGCCAAGCGGACCGGAAGGGGAAAGGAAAUGUGGGCAGAAGGGAGUUGUGCAAAGCCACGGGAGGAUUUCACACGCCCCACCCUGGAGCUCCCCAGGCGCCAGGCCCGGCCCCCCGAGUCAGAGGCCUCUCUUGGGAAAAGUCACUGCUGGGGACAGAAAAGGGGCUGCUGGGUUAGGAGACCCACCACCCAGGUGAGGACAGGUGACGGGACCGCCAGCCGCAGGCCUGGGGAAGGGUUAAGCGUGUGCACCAAGUAUAUUGAGGGUGACCAACUGGGCGUGUACUUGUGUAGUGACGGGGCUCGGAGAAGGCAGAGCCGCCUGACGGGGGUGGGGGGGGGGGGGGAUUAGGGGGCCAUCAGCCUGCGUGGCUGCGUCCCACAGGCAAGGACAGCAGGAGAGGACACAGCAGACUCAACGCAUCGAGUCCGGGGCGUGCUGCACAGAUGGUGUCGUCUGUCAUCGCGUCAGUGCUCUGAACGCUGCUCACUGUUCACGCGAUGGUUCUGGCUGCGAGCCUGACACCCGGGAUGCCGGCUGCCGGAAGCCGCUCCCUGCCACCAGAUCGCAGCCCGCUUCCGCUGCAGUGAGAUGACAUGAAACCUCAGCUCAGCUGCUCCUAAUUUGAGUCUGUGCGUCUGAAAAAGGAAGUGAAAUGUUGGAUGUGAUUAAACGCGGCACCUUCUUUGGGAACAGGCUACGAGUUUCAGCAGUGUGAUGUAAGUUCCGUGUACAAUAGGAGAAAUUAAAAAUUCGGCUUACAGGGAAAGAGGUGUCCGGAUCGUUCUUUUUGGAGGGCAGUGACAUUCUGAAGUAGACUCACCCCAGUACCGUAUUAGAUGAGGACAGUCAAGUAUGAAAAUGUCACAAACGCUACCGUGAUUAAUAGCUCAGUUUAUUAGCUGUUUUAAUAAAGUACAACUUUAUAGUGAAAAUAACAUACUAGAAAGAGCUUUUUUUAAAGCUUUUUUAUGAUAUGCUUACAAAACCUCAGACACCAGGGAAAACUUCCCCCACAAUGACGCAGCACACACGUCUCCUGUGAGCGCAGCUGAAGGCGGCCAGGCGGGCCGGCUGUUGACAGCCAGGUAAGCUCCUGGUGGCGCGGGGGUCACGUGCAGACACCGUAAGAGGGGCUUCUCAACAUCGCGGUCCUGGAUGAAUAAUGCAGAAACGCCACUUUUCAGCUG